rnacentral:rRNA from 1 species
UCCCUCUGCAACUGGAUCCUGGACUUCCUGACGGGCCGCCCCCACGUGGUAAGAGUAGGCAACAACACGUCUGCCACGCUGAUCCUUAAAACUGUGGCCCCUCAGGGGUGUGUACUUAGUCCCCUCCUGUAUUCCCUGUUCACCCACUACUGCAUGGCCAAACACGACUCCAACACCAUCAUUAAGUUUGCUAACGACACAACAGCGGUAGGCCUGAUCACCGACAACGAUGAGACGGCCUAUAGGGAGGAGGUCAGAGAACUGGCAGGACAACAACCUCUCCCUCAAUGUGAGCAAGACAAAGGAGCUGAUCGUGGACUACAGGAACAGCCCCCCAUUAACAUCCAUGUGGCUCUGUGGAGCUGGUCGAGAGUUUCUAGUUCCUUGUGUCCACAUCAACAAACUAUCAUGGUCCAAACAUACCAAGACAGUUGUGAAGAGAGCACGACAAAACCUUUUCCCCUCAGGAGACUGAAAAGAUAUGCUGUAUUUUUGGUUAGUUAGUUAGCUGUAUUGAAGUAGGCUAGUCUGGUUUAGGGGUGUUUUUGGAUAUUUGUUUCUGUCCUUGGGUCCAGCUCAGCCCCUUUUCCUGCCCCCCUUUACCGUGUGUUUACAAAAUAAACCAUGAGUGUUUGACGGUAAUUUAGUUGUCUGUGUUUUUUUUCGUUCUCACUAUUACUUUUUCACUGUUAUAAUUUGCAUGAGUUAUGUUAAGGAUCUCGUUGCCAUCCCCCCUAGACUGUAGAGCCAGUGGGAUUCGUAACAGAUGCCAUCGGGCGUGACUCGAAUGGAUGUCAAAUUGAUGAUAUCUGACCGUAGCAUGCUACCCUUAGCGGUCGCACUCAAACCAACUUCGGGGUGGCUGUUACCCCCUCAUGUCAAAGUAAGGAAAUUCGAUACAGCGGAACUUAAUUAAGAGUCUCUUGAAGUAGCCAAAUGCCUCGUCAUCUAAGUAAUGACGAGCAUGAAUGAAUGAAAGUGAUUCCCAGUGUCCCUACCUACUAUCUAGCGAAACCACAGCCCAGGGAACAGGCUUGACGGAAUCAGCGGGGAAAGAAGACCCUGUUGAGCUUGACUCUAGUCUGGCACUGUGAAGAGACAUGAGAGUAGUAGAAGUAGUGGGAGGCCUCGGCCGCCGAUGAAAUACCACUAUGCUUAUUGUUUUUUCACUUACCCGGUGAGGCAGGGAGGUGAGCCCCAAGUGCUCGCUCCAGUUGUGACCCGCUCCGGGGACAGUGGCAGGUGGGGAAUUUGACUGGGGCGGUCCACCUGUCAAAUCGUCAGAAACUUCCCGUGGAGCAGAAGGGCAAAAGCUCGCUUGAUCUUGAUUUUCGGUAUGAAUACAGACCGUGAAGCGGGGCCUCACAAUCCUUCUGAGUUUUGGGCUUUUAAGCAGGGGGUGUCAAAAGUUACUACAACGAUAACUGGCUUGUGGCGGCCAAUCGUUCAUAUUGACGUCGCUUUUUGAUCCUUCGCUGUCCCCUCUUCCUAUCACUGUGAAGCAGAAUGCACCAAGCGUUGGUUUGUUCACCCACUAAUAGGGAACAUGAGCUGGGUUUAGACCGUCGUGAGACCGGCUAGUUUUACCCUACUGAUGAUGUGUUGUUGCAAUAGUAAUUCCGAUCAGUACGAAAGGAACCGCAGGUUCAGACAUUUGGUGUAUUUGCUUGGCUGGUGCAAAGCUACCCUUGUGGGAUUAUGACUGAACACCUCUAAAUCAGAAUCCCCCCCUAAACAUAACGAUACCGUAGUGCUGCGAAUCUUCAGUUGGCCCAAGAUAGCCUGCCUCUUUUGGCGGUUGAGUAGAGCUGUUCGUGACAGGGUUGGGGUGCGGCCGGAUGGGUUGCCGCCCCUCUCCUGAUGCGCACCGCAUGUUUGUGGGGAACCUUGUGCUAAAUCACUUGUAGACGACGACCACAUUCUGGGUCAUGGUUUCGUACGAAUCUGAGCUUCUCACUCGCUGCGAUCUAUUGAAAGUCAGCCCUCGAUACAAGCUUUUGU